GUAAAGUUUGGGCCCACCUUAUCUUCUCCACAACUCAAGCAAACCACAUCCUCUCGUUUUUCUUCUUCCCAGCGGCCGGCCGGCGCGCGGCGGCGGCCCCUUCCCUUUCCUCAACCAAAGCUCGAGCUCCAGCAACCGGUCGACAGCAAGCACCCAACAGCUACCGCUCUCGACGAGCUCGACGGAGCCUCCUCUCUCACCGCACGCCGUUGUCUCCGUCUUGCAUUAGUUGUUCUGAUCCAACUUUCUCAUCUCCUUUCCUCUACUUUCUUUCUUCAUAGCGUGCAGCACAAGAGCCCACUCCGGCAAGCAGUGAGCACCACAAGAUUGCUGUUGCUCCAGCCUCCAUCAUGAUCCAAAGGCAAGGGCAGGAAGCAUUGGAGAACAAAGAAGAUUAGUUCAACUUCAGUUCUUUGCGGAUGCAAUUUUUCAAGUUUCAAGCUUUCCACUGUUGUUGCAGAAGCAAGCUAGAAUCAAGUGGUUUAGAUUUGCUUUCAAGAACGUGUGUUGUAUUUUAUUUUAUUAUCGUUUGGAUCUGAGCGAUGAUAGAAUCAGUUCAUCAGCACAUCUGAAGUGUCCAUCAUAUGUUUGUGAGAGGAAUAUUUUCAGCUCCAUUGUCGUAGAAUCAAUGUAAUGUAAAAUGAAGAAUCAAUGUAAUUGAGUAUUUUCUAUUAAUAAUAGAAUGGCAUUUUUAUUUCAA